CUGUUUUGUAAAUAAAUUAAGUGGAGCUUCUGACAGGCCUUUCCCAUUUCCAAUAGGAAUGUAAGCUAGGUGACAUAUUUAUGAUUUCUUUUGUUUUUCAGGAUUGCUGUUGAGAGUCUGGGAGCCCCAGUGCAAUGUGUUUAAUUCAACGUACUCUUAAAAGGAAAGGCUGUUUGUACUGACCUGAAUUGGUGAACAAAAGCAGGGGAGCACUGGGUGCUGCCAUACAACACGAGAAGGAUCCUCUGCUGGUGUCUGUGGCCUUGGAGGAGGUUUCCUGGCUUCCUGCAGGAGUGGCACCUCACAAAUAACACAAAACAUCACAAGCACGGCUCUGUGGCUGAGUGAAUGUGCUGAGAUCUGCUGAUGUCUCCACAACAUGCACAAAUAAAGGUUUAUACCCAGGGAGAAGCUGUUCUCAGCCAGUGAACUGAGAAAACACUGGAACACUGAGAAGUUUUUUAGAGGCUGGAAUUGGGAAGGAUCAAUUCCCCCGAAGAGCUUUGCAGUUCCCAUUAUUCCCGAAGAGUCGCAUGUUCUGGCGUUUGUAAACGCCGUGCUUGCUCCUCUGCUGGCUCAUUCCUUACUGAGCCUACAGAGAUGCAUCAAAAUGAUCCUCUGUCCUUCCCUCACCAAGGGUAAAAUUCACCAGUUUCACAGGAGUUUGGCUGCUUUGGGCUGCAGUGCCUAAGAGAAAAGUUGGGCAGAUAUGAGCUCCUGGUGUCAUAGGAUGAGUAGGAAUGCUGACACCAGGGUUUUCAGCUUGCCUGUCUGAUCUAAUAGUUUUGAAGAAUGAAACAAAUUUCUUCCCAUUAAGAAGACAAAGAAUAAAAUCAGUUAUCUUUCUACCUCUUCCAUCCACCUGGCAUUGCUUUUGCAAUUAUAUUGCCCUUUUGAGCCCUUUGUGGUGGGAUCCAUCAUUUUUCAUUUCACUUCCAGUGCCUGAUAGUCAAAGCAGGUUGGGAGAUAGCUGUGUGUAA
rnacentral:lncRNA from 1 species